rnacentral:misc_RNA from 1 species
UGUAGGAGUGAGCCUGCUCGCGAUGCAGGCGCUGCGGUUCUAAUGGCACACCGCGUCAUCGUUCAUCGCGAGCGGGCUCACUCCCACA